UUUCUUUCUUUCAUUCUCUCUUUUCGUUUUACUGAAACACACACACACCCACCUGCCAGCCUCCACUCCAAAACACACAAUCUCACCAUCAUUUUUCCGGCAAGAUCACCGGAAAAAUACUUAGGAACUCCAAAGCAUCUUCAUCAUUUUAUUUGAGGUUUUAGGUAAUCUCCCCUUGGAGCUUGGAGAAUUAGGAUUUUGUGGUUGCGAGGUAAGUAGCUUUUUAAUGGGUAUUUUUGGAAAAUAAC